rnacentral:lncRNA from 1 species
CACAAAGAAUUUGACACACGUAAACCACUAUUGAGAAAAGGACAACUCUUUUUUUUCCAGGAAUUUGGCACCUAACACAUUUGCAUCUAGAAGUAUGGAAUGAACUAUGCCAUAAAGAGCUCAAUAACCUGAACAAUCCAUCAGCAACCCAUGAGCCAGCAGAACAAAAGAUGACAGAACUGGGGCUGGCAGAGCAAGUUAUUUGACAAGAAAUCUUAGAGUCCUCACUUUCUGGGAGCUCAGAGAAAG